GACGAACGCUGGCGGCGUGCUUAACACAUGCAAGUCGAGCGGUAAGGCCUUUCGGGGUACACGAGCGGCGAACGGGUGAGUAACACGUGGGUGAUCUGCCCUGCACUUUGGGAUAAGCCUGGGAAACUGGGUCUAAUACCGGAUAUGACCUCCUAUCGCAUGGUGGGUGGUGGAAAGAUUUAUCGGUGCAGGAUGGGCCCGCGGCCUAUCAGCUUGUUGGUGGGGUAAUGGCCUACCAAGGCGACGACGGGUAGCCGACCUGAGAGGGUGACCGGCCACACUGGGACUGAGACACGGCCCAGACUCCUACGAGAGGCAGCAGUGGAGAGUAUUGCACAGUGGGCGAACGCCUGAUGCAGCGACGCCGCGUGGGGGAUGACGGCCUUCGGGUUGUAAACCUCUUUCAGCAGAGACGAAGCGCAAGUGACGGUACCUGCAGAAGAAGCACCGGCUAACUACGUG
rnacentral:rRNA from 1 species